rnacentral:tRNA from 1 species
GCGCCCGUAGCUCAGUUGGAUAGAGCGCCGGUUUCCUAAACCGGAGGUCGUGGGUUCGAAUCCCGCCGGGUGUACCA